CGGGGGGGUCACCCAGUCAGUACAGACAUGCUGUAUCCCAUAGAUAGCAUCGCGGGUAAAAAUACUCGUCAACCCAAGGGUGACAGCUUUCCCUCGCGUCUGUUGUGGUGAUCAGCUGACGAAAGAGCCAGUUCUAUUCUGUAGCGAGCCAAGUCCCGGCUUUCUCUGUGAAUGUAGUGGAGGACUAAACAGGCGUGGAUGGAACAACCCCCAAAAUAAUACCCUUGACCUCAUCGGGUCGAAAUUCAAAACGUGGUUAUUAGAUGUAGAGACAGUCCCAGCCAAGCAUGGUACUCACUUGUGGUUGAGAUUGGAGGCAAAAAUGGUGAUGAUGAACUGAACACUGAAGAACGCGGAGAGUCUCAACAAUAACUAGGGUGAAUUCCGGGAUUUACAAUUGCAGUUAAUGAACGGAAAGUCUAUUUUGAAAGAAGUUCUAGACUUCCUUUCAGGUUGGGGGUCUCAGUGGAAAA